rnacentral:rRNA from 1 species
CAGUAACCGCGGGAAUACGUAGGGUGCAAGCGUUAAUCGGAAUUACUGGGCGUAAAGCGUGCGCAGGCGGUUAUAUAAGACAGAUGUGAAAUCCCCGGGCUCAACCUGGGAACUGCAUUUGUGACUGUAUAGCUAGAGUACGGCAGAGGGGGAUGGAAUUCCGCGUGUAGCAGUGAAAUGCGUAGAUAUGCGGAGGAACACCGAUGGCGAAGGCAAUCCCCUGGGCCUGUACUGACGCUCAUGCACGAAAGCGUGGGGAGCAAACAGGAUUAGAUACCCGUGUAGUCCCUGUCUCUUAUAC